rnacentral:tRNA from 1 species
CAAAAGAUAGUUUAGUGGAGAAUAAUAACUUUGGGAGUUAUAGGGGUAAGUUCGAUCCUUAUUCUUUUGA